rnacentral:rRNA from 1 species
AGCAGCCGCGGUAAUUCCAGCUCCAAUAGCGUAUAUUAAAGUUGUUGCAGUUAAAAAGCUCGUAGUUGAAUUUCGGAAUCAAUGGAUCGGUCAUGCCACUCGGUGUGUACUGGUUUGAUUGGUUCUCACCUUCUAAGGAACCGUGAUGUCAUUAAUUUGGUGUCGCGGGGAAUUAGGACUGUUACCUUGAAAAAAUUAGAGUGUUUAAAGCAAGCUCACGCUUGAAUACAUUAGCAUGGAAUAAUGAAAUAGGACAUUGUAUUCUAUUUUGUUGGUUUCUAGGAUCGAUGUAAUGAUUAAUAGGGAUAGUUGGGGGCAUUAGUAUUCAAUUGUCAGAGGUGAAAUUCUUGGAUUUAUUGAAGACUAACUACUGCGAAAGCAUUUGCCAAGGAUGUUUUCAUUAAUCAAGAACGAAAGUUAGGGGAUCGAAGACGAUCAGAUACCGUCGUAGUCUUAACCAUAAACU